rnacentral:rRNA from 1 species
CGAUGACUAGCUGGUCUGAGAGGAUGAUCAGCCACACUGGCACUGGAACACGGGCCAGACUCCUAACGGGAGGCAGCAGUGGGGAAUAUUGCGCAAUGGGCGAAAGCCUGACGCAGCAACGCCGCGUGAGUGACGAAGGCCUUCGGGUCGUAAAGCUCUGUCGAGAGGGACGAAACACCGGUGGGAACAAUAACCUCGCCGGUUUGACGGUACCUCCAAAGGAAGCACCGGCUAACUCCGUGCCAGCAGCCGCGGUAAUACGGAGGGUGCAAGCGUUGUUCGGAAUUACUGGGCGUAAAGGGCGUGUAGGCGGAUCAAGAAGUCGGGUGUGAAAGCCCUGGGCUCAACCCAGGAAGUGCGCCCGAAACCAUUGGUCUUGAGUUCCAGAGGGGAGCGGGGAAUUCCCAGUGUAGAGGUGAAAUUCGUAGAUAUUGGGAAGAACACCGGUGCCGAAGGGGCCGCUCUGGAUGGAUACUGACGCUGAGGCGCGAAAGCGUGGGGAGCAAACAGGAUUAGAUACCCUGGUAGUCCACGCUGUAAACGAUGUGCACUAGGUGUCGGGGGUAUUGACCCCCCCGGUGCCGCCGCUAACGCAUUAAGUGCACCGCCUGGGAAGUACGGCCGCAAGGCUGAAACUCAAAGGAAUUGACGGGGGCCCGCACAAGCGGUGGAGUAUGUGGUUCAAUUCGACGCAACGCGCAGAACCUUACCUGGGCUUGACAUCUGGGGAAGUCCCUAGAGAUAGGGAUGUGCCCUUCGGGGAACCCCAUGACAGGUGCUGCAUGGCUGUCGUCAGCUCGUGUCGUGAGGUGUUGGGUUAAGUCCCGCAACGAGCGCAACCCCUGUUCUUAGUUGCCAUCGGUUCGGCCGGGCACUCUAAGGAGACUGCCGGUGUUAAACCGGAGGAAGGUGGGGAUGACGUCAAGUCCUCAUGGCCUUUAUGCCCAGGGCUACACACGUACUACAAUGGCCGGUACAAAGGGUCGCCAAGCCGCGAGGUGGAGCUAAUCCCAAAACGCCGGUCUCAGUUCGGAUUGGUCUCUGCAACUCGAGACCAUGAAGGUGGAAUCGCUAGUAAUCGCUGAUCAGCAUGCAGCGGUGAAUACGUUCCCGGGCCUUGUACACACCGCCCGUCACACCACGAAAGCUGUUUAUACCAGAAGUGCGUGACCCAACCUUCGGGAGGGAGCGCC